rnacentral:rRNA from 1 species
AACGUAGGUGGCGAGCGUUAUCCGGAUUUACUGGGCGUAAAGCGUGUGCAGGCGGGGCCUCAAGUGGUGUAUGAAAUCGCUCGGCUUAACCGGGCGCGGUUAUGCCAGACUGAGGUUCUGGAGUGCGGGAGAGGGGCGUGGAAUUCCGGGAGUAGUGGUGAAAUGCGUAGAGAUCCGGAGGAACCCCAGAGGCGAAGGCGGCGCCCUGGCCCGACACUGACGCUCAGACACGACAGCAUGGGGAGCGAACGGG